rnacentral:rRNA from 1 species
UUUAAAGAGAGUUUGAUCCUGGCUCAGGACGAACGCUGGCGGCGUGCCUAAUACAUGCAAGUCGAACGAACGGAGGAAGAGCUUGCUCUUCCAAAGUUAGUGGCGGACGGGUGAGUAACACGUGGGCAACCUGCCUGUAAGUUGGGGAUAACUCCGGGAAACCGGGGCUAAUACCGAAUGAUAGAGUGUGGCGCAUGCCACGCUUUUGAAAGAUGGUUUCGGCUAUCGCUUACAGAUGGGCCCGCGGUGCAUUAGCUAGUUGGUAGGGUAAU